UACGUAGGGAGCAAGCGUUGUCCGGAAUCAUUGGGCGUAAAGCGCGCGUAGGUGGCCCUGUAAGUCCGUUGUGAAAGUCAAAGGCUCAACCUUUGAAAGCCGAUGGAUACUGCAGGACUAGAGUACGGAAGAGGCGAGUGGAAUUCCUGGUGUAGCGGUGGAAUGCGCAGAUAUCAGGAGGAACACCAAUAGCGAAGGCAGCUCGCUGGGACGUACUGACACUGAGGCGCGAAAGCGUGGGGAGCGAACAGG
rnacentral:rRNA from 1 species